rnacentral:rRNA from 1 species
UACAGAGGGUGCGAGCGUUAAUCGGAAUUACUGGGCGUAAAGCGUGCGUAGACGGUAGCGUAAGUCAGAUGUGAAAGCCCCGGGCUCAACCUGGGAAUUGCAUUUGAGACUGCUCUGCUCGGGUGCGGAAGAGGGAAGCGGAAUUUCCGGUGUAGCGGUGAAAUGCGUAGAUAUCGGAAGGAACACCAGUGGCGAAGGCGGGUCUCUGGGCCGUUACUGACGCUGAGGAGCGAAAGCGUGGGGAGCGAACAGG